rnacentral:tRNA from 1 species
GUGUGUAUAGCUCGGUGGUAGAGCGCAUGCCUAGCAUGCAUGAGGUCCUGGGUUCAAUCCCCAGCACCUCCA